CCUACGUGUGGCAGCAGUGAGGAAUAUUGGUCAAUGGACGCAAGUCUGAACCAGCCAUGCCGCGUGCAGGAAGACGGCUCUAUGAGUUGUAAACUGCUUUUGUAGGAGGGUAAACGCAGAUACGCGUAUCUGACUGAACGUAUCGUACGAAUAAGGAACGGCUAACUCAGUGCCAGCAGCCGCGGUAAUACGGAGGAGUCAAGCGUUAUCCGGAUUUAUUGGGUUUAAAGGGUGCGUAGGCGGUCGGAUAAGUUAGAGGUGAAAUCCCGAGGCUCAACUUCGGAAUUGCCUCUGAUACUGUUCGGCUAGAGAGUAGUUGCGGUAGGCGGAAUGUAUGGUGUAGCGGUGAAAUGCUUAGAGAUCAUACAGAACACCGAUUGCGAAGGCAGCUUACCAAGCUACUUCUGACGUUGAGGCACGAAAGCGUGGGGAGCAAACAGGAUUAGAUACCCUUGUAGUC
rnacentral:rRNA from 1 species